rnacentral:rRNA from 1 species
AUUGAACGCUGGCGGCAUGCCUUACACAUGCAAGUCGAACGGUAGAGGGGGCAACCCCUUGAGAGUGGCGAACGGGUGAGUAAUGCAUCGGAACGUGCCCAGUAGUGGGGGAUAGCCCGGCGAAAGCCGGAUUAAUACCGCAUACGACCUACGGGUGAAAGCGGGGGACCUUCGGGCCUCGCGCUAUUGGAGCGGCCGAUGUCAGAUUAGCUAGUUGGUGGGGUAAAGGCCCACCAAGGCGACGAUCUGUAGCUGGUCUGAGAGGACGACCAGCCACACUGGGACUGAGACACGGCCCAGACUCCUACGGGAGUCAGCAGUGGGGAAUUUUGGACAAUGGACGAAAGUCUGAUCCAGCCAUGCCGCGUGCGGGAAGAAGGCCUUCGGGUUGUAAACCGCUUUUGUCAGGGAAGAAAUCUUCUGGGCGAAUAACCUGGGAGGAUGACGGUACCUGAAGAAUAAGCACCGGCUAACUACGUGCCAGCCGCCGCCGUAAAAC